CACAAUAAAAUAUGAAGGCUGUACGCGGCUGUGCUCUCGGGCCAGUUUUGCGGAGGCUGAAUUAUUUAUUACCCUUGUCUUUUGCGCACUUGUUGUUUCCUCGGCGGGUCGCCCGCCCCAUUGGACAAUUAUAAACCAUUUAUGCAGUUGCAAUCAGCGUCAGUAAACAAAUGUAAAUAUUUA
rnacentral:misc_RNA from 1 species